GCCGGUGUAGCUCAGUUGGUAGAGCAGCUGAUUCGUAAUCAGCAGGUCGCUGGUUCAAGUCCAGUCGCCGGCUCCA
rnacentral:tRNA from 1 species